GCCCCCGUAGCUCAGCCGGAUAGAGCGACGGUUUCCUAAACCGCAGGCCGGUGGUUCGAAUCCACUCGGGGGCACCA
rnacentral:tRNA from 1 species